rnacentral:rRNA from 1 species
CCUACGGGUGGCAGCAGUGGGGAAUAUUGGACAAUGGGGGGAACCCUGAUCCAGCCAUGCCGCGUGUGUGAAGAAGGCCCUCGGGUUGUAAAGCACUUUCAGUGAGUAAGAACGCCUGGUGGUUAAUACCCAUCAGGAAAGACAUCACUCACAGAAGAAGCACCGGCUAACUCCGUGCCAGCAGCCGCGGUAAUACGGAGGGUGCGAGCGUUAAUCGGAAUUACUGGGCGUAAAGCGCGCGUAGGUGGCUUGAUAAGCCGGUUGUGAAAGCCCCGGGCUCAACCUGGGAACGGCAUCCGGAACUGUCAAGCUAGAGUGCAGGAGAGGAAGGUAGAAUUCCCGGUGUAGCGGUGAAAUGCGUAGAGAUCGGGAGGAAUACCAGUGGCGAAGGCGGCCUUCUGGACUGACACUGACACUGAGGUGCGAAAGCGUGGGUAGCAAACAGGAUUAGAUACCCUGGUAGUC